CUUCGGGGUCCGCAUUGUAAUUUGCAGAGGAUGCUUCGGGAGCGGUCCCCAUCUAAGUGCCCUGGAACGGGACGUCAUAGAGGGUGAGAAUCCCGUAUGGGAUGGGGUGUCCGCGCCCGUGUGAAGCUCCUUCGACGAGUCGAGUUGUUUGGGAAUGCAGCUCUAAAUGGGUGGUAAAUUUCAUCUAAAGCUAAAUAUUGGCCGGAGACCGAUAGCGCACAAGUAGAGUGAUCGAAAGAUGAAAAGCACUUUGAAAAGAGAGUUAAAAAGCACGUGAAAUUGUUGAAAGGGAAGCGCUUGCGACCAGACUCGUUCGCGGGGUUCAGCCGGCAUUCGUGCCGGUGUACUUCCCCGCGAGCGGGCCAGCGUCGGUUUGGGCGGUCGGUCAAAGGCCUCUGGAAGGUAACGCCCCCUCGGGGGCGUCUUAUAGCCAGGGGUGCAAUGCGGCCUGCCCGGACCGAGGAACGCGCUUCGGCUCGGACGCUGGCAUAAUGGUCGUAAGCGACCCGUCUUGAAACACGGAC
rnacentral:rRNA from 1 species